rnacentral:rRNA from 1 species
AACGUAGGAGACAAACGUUAUCCGGAGUUGCUGGGCGUAAAGGGCGUGUAGGCGGUUUGUUAAGUCUGGCGUGAAAGCUCUCGGCUAAACCGGGAGAGGUCGUUGGAUACUGGCAAACUAGAGGACGGUAGAGGCGUGUGGAAUUCCGGGUGUAGUGGUGAAAUGCGUAGAGAUCCGGAGGAACACCAGUGGCGAAGGCGACACGCUGGGCCGUACCUGACGCUAAAGCGCGACAGCAUGGGGAGCAAACGGG